rnacentral:piRNA from 1 species
UGAUGGCCUGGUAGACACUGAGGAA